UUUUAACCAAAGAUGGAACAGUACAGCUUGGAGAUUUUGGAAUUGCUAGAGUUCUUAAUAGUACUAUAGAGCUGGCUCGAACUUGCAUAUGGACCCCAUACUACUUGUCACCUGAAAUCUGCGAAAACAAACCGUACAAUAAUAAAAGUGACAUUUGGGCUCUGAGAUGUGUCCUGUACGAGAUGUGUACACUAAAACAUGCAUUUGAAGCUGGCAGUUUGAAAAACCUGGUACUGAAGAUCAUAUCUGGAUGUUUUCCACCGGUGUCUUUGCAUUAUUCCUAUGAUCUCCGCCGUUUGCUCUCUCAGUUAUUUAAAAGAAAUCCUAGGGACAGACCAUCUGUCAACUCCAUAUUGGAGAAAGCUUUAUAGCCAAACGCA